GAUGAACGCUGGCGGCUUGCCUAAUACAUGCAAGUCGAGCUAACUGACGAGAAGCUUUCUCCUCUGAUGUUAACGGCGGACGGGUGAGUAACACGUGGAUAACCUACCUAUAAGACUGGGAUCACUUCGGGAAACCGGAGCUAAUACCGGAUAAUAUUUUGAACCGCAUUGUUCAAUAGUGAAAGACGGUCUUGCUGUCACUUAUAGAUUGAUCCGCGCUGCAUUAGCUAGUUGGUAAGGUAACGGCUUACCAAGGCACCGAUGCAUAGCCGACCUGAGAGGGUGAUCGGGCACACUGGAAAUGAGACAAGGUCCAGAAUCCUAAGGGAAGCAGCAGUAGGGAAUCUUCCGCAAAGGGCGAAAGCCUGACGGAGCAAAGCCGCGUGAGUGAUGAAGGUCUUCGGAUCGUAAAACUCUGUUAUUAGGGAAGAACAGAUGUGUAAGUAACUGUGGAAAGCUUGACGGUACCUAAUCAGAAAGCCACGGCUAACUAAGUG
rnacentral:rRNA from 1 species